GGGAUGCGUGGGUAGCUUACCUAAGGCCUGCUAAGUCUCUUACCAUUAAAUUUGUGUCUGGUGAGCCUUUCCUCCAAAACCAGAUCUGCAACUUUGAACAAGCAAAAUUAUGGUCUUUGACUUUUCUGAAACUCUGAAUGGCAGCUGCCAUUUUGAUAUGUUUUUCAUUUUCUUUUGGCAACAAAACAUCAAUUUUGUUGGCCUUAAUAUUUUUAUUUCUUGGCAGGUUAAGAUGAGGUAUAGAAGGCAACUGAUACAUACUAAGUGCUCAAAAAAUAUUAACUCCCUGUCCUCCAUCAUGGCUCAAGAAAAUACAACAGCUGAGCACACCCAGGGGUUGCUUACUAUUUACUCAUCAGUUUAGUGUAUCAAAGUACACACAAAAGAUUUUAAGAAACAGAAGAGAAAAGAAUCUGAGGCACAGAUAAAGAUAAGUUUUACUGUCAUGCUGCUUUUAACAUAACCGAGCAACAUCACCUAGGAAUUCCUUCUUUAAAUCCAAAAACUAUUCUUUGUUUAACUCUUCCUCUCUGGUUUGGAAAGAAGGAUAAAUAAGCAUAUGGUUUGGUCAUACAUCAAAGUCCUAUCAGUAGGAAAUUAUGGCAUCUUCACAUUUAACAUGUAUCAGAGAAAUUUCAUUAUGGAGUUUAAACUAUGUGCCGUUGUCUAUUCUUGUACAUAGGAGGGUUAACACUCUAAGAGGAAAAACAUAAAAGCAAAUAUAUUUGCAUCACACCCUCUCAACUACA
rnacentral:lncRNA from 1 species